rnacentral:rRNA from 1 species
UACGUGAGGGGCAAGCGUUGUCCGGAAUCAUUGGGCGUAAAGAGCGUGUAGGCGGCCCGGUAAGUCCGCUGUAAAAGUCAAAGGCUCAACCUUUGAAUGUCAGUGGAUACUGCCGGGCUAGAGUCCGGAAGAGGAGAGUGGAAUUCCUGGUGUAGCGGUGAAAUGCGCAGAGUAUCAGGGAAGAACACCCGUGGCGGAAGGCGGCUCUCUGGGACGGUACUGACGGCUGAGACGCGAAAGCGUGGGGAGCGAACAGG